rnacentral:tRNA from 1 species
GGUGAUAUAGCUCAGUUGGUAGAGCAAUGGAUUGAAAAUCCAUGUGUCACUGGUUCGAUUCCAGUUAUCACCA